rnacentral:rRNA from 1 species
CAACCGGCGCACGGGUGAGUAACACGUAUGCAACCUGCCCGUCUCAGGGGGAUAAUCGUCGGAAACGGCGUCUAAUACCCCGUAUGAAGCUGGACGGCAUCGUCUGGUUUUGAAAGAAUAUCGGAGACGGAUGGGCAUGCGGCGCAUUAGCUAGUUGGCGGGGUAACGGCCCACCAAGGCGACGAUGCGUAGGGGUUCUGAGAGGAAGGUCCCCCACACUGGUACUGAGACACGGACCAGACUCCUACGGGAGGCAGCAG